UUAACUAUUUAAUAGUACUCAGACGACACUAACAUUCAGAGUUUAGGGGUCCUCUGGCGGGCACGCUGGACGCGAAUCCAGGCACACUAGGCGCGGCCCGCCAAAGCAACAUUCUAUAAUGAUACACAAGGGUGGGAGAUCUACCCCGAAGGGCAUGAACUCUGUAAUGAUCCUUCCGCAGGUUCACCUACGGAGA
rnacentral:misc_RNA from 1 species